ACUGCUCAGUAACACGUGGACAACCUGCCCUUAGGUUGGGUAUAAACCCGGGAAACUGGGUAUAAUACCCGAUAGGUCUCGAUUGCUGGAAUGCAUCGAGAUUUAAAGCUCCGGCGCCUAAGGAUGGGUCUGCGGCCUAUCAGGUAGUAGUGGGUGUAGCGUACCUACUAGCCUACGACGGGUACGGGUUGUGAGAGCAAGAGCCCGGAGAUGGAUUCUGAGACACGAAUCCAGGCCCUACGGGGUGCAGCAGGCGCGAAAACUUUACAAUGCUGGCAACAGCGAUAAGGGAACCUCGAGUGCCAGGUUACAAAUCUGGCUGUCGAGAUGCCUAAAAAGCAUUUCAUAGCAAGGGCCGGGCAAGACCGGUGCCAGCCGCCGCGGUAACACCGGCGGCUCGAGUGGUAACCGUUAUUAUUGGGUCUAAAGGGUCUGUAGCCGGCCGGAUAAGUCUCUUGAGAAAUCUGGCAGCUUAACUGUCAGGCUUUCAGGAGAUACUGUCUGGCUCGAGGCCGGGAGAGGUGAGAGGUACUUCAGGGGUAGGGGUGAAAUCUUGUAAUCCUUGAAGGACCACCAGUGGCGAAGGCGUCUCCCCAGAACGGACCUGACGGCAAGGGACGAAAGCUAGGGGCACGAACCGGAUUAGAUACCCGGGUAGUCCUAGCCGUAAACGAUACUCGCUAGGUGUCGGCCACGGUGCGACCGUUGUCGGUGCCGUAGGGAAGCCGUGAAGCGAGCCACCUGGGAAGUACGGCCGCAAGGCUGAAACUUAAAGGAAUUGGCGGGGGAGCAC
rnacentral:rRNA from 1 species